CAGCACCUUGGCGGAGUCGGUUGCCGGGAUUGCCUUUGAUACCCAGCAGGUGAAAGCACGUAAAAAAAAUGUCCCUUUACAGAGGCAGGUUUGCCGCGGACGAAUACAUAACUUCUGCAUGCGUGCUUCUGUCCACAAUGGCGGCGCGCGAGGACGCUAUCACAAGUGUUAGGAGGAUUUUAAUGCCUUCACAUUUGCCGUCCCUACAGAGGUAUCUAUUUCACUGGGCUUGUUAGGGGAGUUUAUUUUAGAAAUUUAAUUUUUUUUUUUUUGUCCACAUGAAAACGUGUCCUGGGCGCAUUGUAGCUCGUGGUAACAUGUGUUUACUGCACGCCGAGGGCUGUGAAUACGAGUGACGGCGGAAAAAAAAGGCAAAUCGUGAAUUUCUAAUCAUGAUCAUACAAAUUGAUUCUUUCGCACUUGUCACCCUCUGAGCGGGACAAGGAAAGUCACCAGGUAGAGCAUCUAGAGAGCUCGUCGGAGGUCAGCGCAUGUGGUGUUCACUCCUUCCCUCCUUCUCUCUCGCCCUCUCUCUCUCUUUCACACGAACGCACGGAUGCACGCACACACUCUCAUGCGCCAGAUACAUUCCCAUUCACUUACACAUACGCACAUUACAGACACAGACAGACAGAUAGACAGGCAGACAGACAGACGGACAGACAGACACAUGCAAACAUACAUUCACGUUCCAUUGCAUACACACAGGCUACGUUGCCCAAUCGUAAUGCAUAAUCGUGGGGCCCGUGGAAAGUUCAUCUCGCCAACCAGCAGAAAUAAUUGCUGCUGCUGCUGCUGAUGAUGAUGAUGAUCAAGACAUCUGUAGACCUUUAGGACCUUCAUAAUAGCGAAGCAGAGAGGUCAGAGUACACUGCAAUGAUUGUAUGACCCUCUUACCGACGAACUACACAAAGAAACUUUUAAUGCAGUAGAUAGAGGAGGCAGUCGAUGGAAGAAUAGACAACUGUAGAAACCCCAAGGCCCGCAGAUAAGCCCAACGUUCCACACAAUGGCAAAGAAGCGUGUGUCUAUAAUAGGCACGACACUCAGGUCAACUCACAAAACUAAACUACAGAAAUAGUUCUCCCACAACCCUCCCCAAGGCCUGUACGUCAAGGGACACCACUCCAAUAUAAGGGGAGGCAACGACUCAACGAAAGGAGAGGAAUGAGAUUCGCUUUCCACAUGGUCAGCCAUGGACACGGGAACUACUUACUGUCUCUGACUCCCUCGUACAGAGCUCGGCACUGCGCUGCAGACUUCCACCCGUCCAGCUAGCCGAUGUGCUCAAGCUUGUUCAGGGUACAGCCAGCUGUCUACCUGUCCACCCGCUACCCGCCACUGUAAAACAUUUGAUACCCGGGUGCGGCCAUGCAAACACAGGCCGGCACAAAUGGGCUUCGACCAGCAUACCUGCCGGUUAAAAGAAAGAAGGAAAAAAGAAACUGGCAAAGAAACUGAAUUUCGUAGACAAGUGUUUAUAGCCUUUGAUCUUCGAUAAGCUGUUGCUAAGUGCAAGUGUCCCUGAGUAUCUCCUCGUGUUAGGCGCGCGCGAUGACGUUUGUGGGCGUGUUUGCUAUUGAACUUUUUUACGUCUGACUCGACAGGAAGGAAUAAAAAAAAGAAAGAAGGAUAGAGGGAGCGGUGAAAAAUAAAGUCAAGAAAGAGAAAAAAAAAAGAAAAAAAAAAGAAGAAAAAAACAAAAAACGAGAGAAAGAAAUAAAAA